rnacentral:rRNA from 1 species
AGUGAGGAAUUUUGCGCAAUGGGGGAAACCCUGACGCAGCAAUACCGCGUGGAGGAUGAAGGCUCUCGGGUCGUAAACUCCUUUUAUAUGGGAAGAAUUUUGACUGUACCAUAUGAAUAAGUCACGGCUAACUACGUGCCAGCAGCCGCGGUAAUACGUAGGUGGCAAGCGUUAUCCGGAAUUAUUGGGCGUAAAGCGUCCGCAGGCGGUUUUGUAAGUCAGAUGUAAAAUCUAUGGGCCCAACCCAUAGUCUGUAUCUGAAACUACAAAACUAGAGCAUGUUAGAGGUCAGUGGAAUUUCUGGAGUAGGGGUAAAAUCCGUAGAUACCAGAAGGAACACCAAUUGCGAAGGCAGCUGACUGGGACAUUGCUGACGCUCAGGGACGAAAGCGUGGGGAGCGAAAAGGAUUAGAUACCCUUGUAGUCCACGCCGUAAACGAUGGAUACUAGGUUUUGGGAAGAAUCGACCCUUUCCAGAGCCGUAAGCUAACGCAUUAAGUAUCCCGCCUGAGUAGUACGAGCGCAAGCUUAAAACUCAAAGGAAUAGACGGGGACCCACACAAGCGGUGGAGCGUGUUGUUUAAUUCGAUAGUAAGCGGAGAACCUUACCUAGACUUGACAUCCUAAGAAAUUUUUAGAAAUAAAAAAGUGCCUCUUUCCGGAGGAACUUAGUGACAGAUGCUGCAUGGUUGUCGUCAGCUCGUGCCGUGAGGUGUACGGUUAAGUCCGAUAACGAGCGGAACCCUUGUCAUAUGUUGUAUUUUUCAUAUGAGACUGCCUCGGUUAACGAGGAGGAAGGUAGGGAUGACGUCAAAUCAGCAUGGCUCUUACGUCUAGGGCUACAAACGCGCUACAAUGGAUGGUACAAAAGGUCGUGCGACGAAGUAAUUCUGAGCCAAUCCUUAAAGCCAUUCUUAGUUCGGAUUGAGGGCUGCAAUUCGCCCUCAUGAAGCUGGAAUCGCUAGUAACCGUGAAUCAGAACGUCACGGUGAAUAUGU